UAAAGAGGUCAGCAGCUGAAGGGGAAGCAGUGCCCUUGAGAGCUCCAGGAAGAAGGCUGGGGAGCGGUCCAUGGCAGGAAGGGGGAAGCUACAGAAGCCCCUGCAAGAUGGUGACUGCAUCCACAACCAGGACUGUAGCUGGCGGUGUGGAGCUGAGACUCGAAGAGAGUUCAUGUAAGCUGACCUGGGAAAUGAGCAUCAUCAACAGUUCUGGCCCAUCUCAACUCCUCUCCUCCUCUUCUCACUUGGCUGCUUCUUCCCUCCCCAAGAAAAGACAAGUGAUCCUGCCUUCAAAUACCAUCAAGAAGACUGCCAUACAAGAGAGGAGGGUGACAAGGGGUUCUUCAUAAAAACUCUCUGAAGCUAAAGGGCAGGGAACUCUUGUUAAAUCUAGUUUGUUAAGAAGAAAAAGGUUUACUUAAUACUUUGCUCUUCAAAUACUGUAACUACAUUUUCUUCCUUCUGCAUCAUUAAUAAAAGGCUAUAAAUA